UACGGAGGAUCCACGCGUUAUCCGGAUUUAUUGGGUUUAAAGGGUGCGUAGGCGGCCUGUUAAGUCAGGGGUGAAAGACGGUAGCUCAACUAUCGCAGUGCCCUUGAUACUGAUGGGCUUGAAUGGACUAGAGGUAGGCGGAAUGAGACAAGUAGCGGUGAAAUGCAUAGAUAUGUCUCAGAACACCGAUUGCGAAGGCAGCUUACUAUGGUCUUAUUGACGCUGAGGCACGAAAGCGUGGGGAUCAAACAGG
rnacentral:rRNA from 1 species